AGAGGAAGACCUCCCUGGCUUCGGUAUCGCCGUUGUCGCCUUCGGCAUCUACCUCGUCGGCGAGCAGAUCUUCAGUCGCGCCGGCGCUCCUUCUUCCCACUCUCACUCUCACUCCCACUCCACCGCUUCUUCCUCUCACUGAUAUCUCUUCAGGUGAUGGUGGAAGGAGGCUGGGAAGAAGUAACAACUAUGGCACUUGCCCCUUUUUAAUGUCCAUUAAUAAGCUUUUAAGUUCAACUUAAACUGGCACCCUUGAAUUUGUAAAUCUCAGACUACUUUACCUAUCUUGGUAUUUUGUUUAUCACUAUUAUUGUUGCUACAUUCAUACAUUGUGCUGCUUGUGCUUUUGAGAUUUUACUCGUUUUCUUUCUUCA